rnacentral:rRNA from 1 species
UGAGUGGCGGACGGGUGAGUAACGCGUAGGUAAUCUACUCUUCGAGUGGGGGAGUACCCAGCCGAAAGGUUGGUUAAUACCGCAUACGCUCCUGUGCAGAGAGGUACAGGAGGAAAGGUUUACUGCUGAGGAAUGAGCCUGCGUCCGAUUAGCUAGUUGGUGGGGUAAAGGCUCACCAAGGCGACGAUCGGUAGCUGGUCUGAGAGGACGAUCAGCCACACUGGAACUGAGACACGGCCAGACUCCUACGGGAGGCAGCAGUGGGGAAUUUUCCGCAAUGGGCGAAAGCCUGACGGAGCAACGCCGCGUGGGUGAUGAAGUUUUUCGGAACGUAAAACCCUUUCGCCAGGGACGAAGCGAGUGACGGUACCUGGAGAAGAAGCAUCGGCUAACUACGUG